rnacentral:rRNA from 1 species
UACGUAGGGUGCGAGCGUUGUCCGGAAUUAUUGGGCGUAAAGAGCUCGUAGGCGGUCUGUCGCGUCUGCUGUGAAAACCCGAGGCUCAACCUCGGGCCUGCAGUGGGUACGGGCAGACUAGAGUGCGGUAGGGGAGAUUGGAAUUCCUGGUGUAGCGGUGGAAUGCGCAGAUAUCAGGAGGAACACCGAUGGCGAAGGCGGGUCUCUGGGCAGUAACUGACGCUGAGGAGCGAAAAGCGUGGGGAGCGAACAGG